rnacentral:sRNA from 1 species
ACUAGGUGUAGUGGUGUGCAUCUGUAGCCCCAAUUACUCAGGAGUCUGAGGCAGGAGGCUCUCUUGAGCCUAGGAGUUCAAGACCUGCCUUGGCAUCACAGAAGGACUCCAUCUGU